AUAUGGUUAUUAUGGCACAGCCCCUAAUAAGUAAUACCGAUUUCCAAAGAAGAAAACAACUUUAACUAAAACUGUACCAUAUUUAAAUUUCAUGAUUUAUAGUUAACUACAGAGUAAUUUAAUUAGCAUACAUAACUAAUUUGGUGUUACAUAAUGCAUCAAGUCCCUGAUGUAACUGUAACGAUUUGAUAAAUGGAAAUUAUAGAUUUGCUUUGUUUUCGAGUCCUCUAAAUUUACGUUCUAUAAACUUAUCCCAGAUUUAAACUUUAAAGUUAAAUAUAAUCUUUAUAGCUUGA